rnacentral:lncRNA from 1 species
CUCCAUCUCUUGGAAAAUUAGGCAACUUAAGAAAUUUGAGCUUAGGAACAAAUGACCUUUCUGGUCCCAUUCCAAGAGAGAUAGGUGACUUAAGAAGAUUGAAGUUUCUUUACUUAUGGGGCAAUAAUCUUUCGGGAUCCAUACCUUCGGAGAUUGGGAGGUUAACCAAUCUUAUUGAAUUAUAUUUUUAUGAAAAUAAGUUGGUUGGGCAUAUCCCUGCUUCACUAGGAAACCUGAGCAGUCUAAAUGUUCUUUAUCUUUGGGGAAACCAGUUUUCGGGGUCCAUUCCUCCAUCUCUUGGAAAACUAGGCAACUUAAGAUAUUUGUGCUUAGAAACAAAUGACCUUUCUGGUCCAAUUCCAAGAGAGAUAGGUGACUUAAGAAGAUUGAAGUUUCUUUACUUAUGGGGCAAUAAUCUUUCGGGAUCCAUACCUUCGGAGAUUGGGAAGCUAACCGAUCUUAUUGAAUUAUGUUUUUAUGAAAAUAAGUUGGUCGGGCAUAUCCCUGCUUCACUGGAAAACCUGAGCAGUCUAAAUGUUCUCUAUCUUUGGGGAAACCAACUUUCAGGGUCCAUUCCUCCAUCUCUUGGAAAAUUAGGCAACUUAAGAAAUUUGAGCUUAAGCACAAAUGAC